rnacentral:lncRNA from 1 species
AUGCUCCAUCUGUUAGCUCUACUGCUGCCCCUGAUGCCACCACUGCAGCUCCUGCCACCACUGCAGUUCAUGUCACCCUUGCAGCUCCCGCCACCCCUGCAGCUCAUGCCACCCUUGCAGCUCCCGCCACCCCUGCAGCUCAUGCCACCCCUGCAGCUCCCACCACCCGUGCAGCUCAUGCCACCCCUGCAGCUCCCGCCACCCCUGCAGCUCCCGCCACCAUGACCAAUGCUGUUCAAAGCACCACUCGAGCUGGCUUCUUCAGCUCGAUUUGGAAAAUAGUGGGUUGAAAUAUUACUAAGAUGGAAUUAGUCCGAGGUAUCUGCAUUUGAUCUUGCAGGGCUCGGCACAAGGCCCAUCCAUUUGAUUUAAUCUAACUACUUAUCAAGUCUACCAUCUUUAUCUUAUCUUUAAUCAGUUUAUGGUUUUCAAAUAAAAAAUAAUAUUGAGCAACA